GUCUUGGAGUUGUGGGUGGUCACGAGAUCCUGGAUGAGCCCCCAAAUGAAAGACCACCAGGGUGGGGAAGACCACCACUGAAAUCUCGAGAUGACGCAACCCCCCAAGAACUCACGAGGAACU
rnacentral:pre_miRNA from 14 species